rnacentral:tRNA from 1 species
GCGGGUGUGAUUCAACGGCUAGAAUGUCAGCCUUCCAAGCUGAAUACGUGGGUUCGAUUCCCAUCACCCGCUCCA